GAACUCGCAAGGACUUCUGGGGAUUGAAGUCUGGAAUUCAAAUCUCCAUUUUUAAAAUACAAUAAUAAAAAUAUUAAUAAACAUCUUUGUUUAGCUCCUGAUCUUACAGAGAAAACUUCUAACUAAUCUCUGUUACAGAGAAAUCUGAAAUUAUGCCCAAAGAGACAUAAAACUAUGUCUACAUUUUUUACUAACUAAACACAUUAAUUGUUUUAUUUCCCAAGGUGAUCAGGAAAAAGAAAAAGAACCUAUAUGCCCCAGCUGACAGUAGAAGCUGAAGAUGAAGUUGAAGGUGUGGAAGCUGAAGGGAGCUGUGCUUCCCACCCUGUUAUCAAGGAUGACUGUAACACUGGAGGACACAGAAUUUUGGAAAUGACAGAAUCCCACUUGGAAACUAACUUCCCCUUAACAGUUGGAAAGAUGGAACUGCACUCAAUCAGGUAAAGCAGUUUGAAUCAGCCUAAGAAAAAGGGCCUGCCCAAACCACCUGUGAUCAGACAAUAUUACUGAGUUAUUUUUUUUUAUUUUGAUUAUUCUUGAAUGGACAGCAGACAGGGUUGGGAACAGCACUCUCACAGAUGGCUGAACAGCAGCUGAAACUAAGAAAAUAAGAUACAAGACCUUUUUCUCAUGUCUGGAAAACAGAAUAUUUCCCCUAAAGCAAAGUGGAAACGAGCUACAUAGUGGUUUAUUUUAUGCAUCUCUAGUAAUAUCACAUAUUAAACUUAUACCUUAGUGUUUA